CCUACGGGUGGCUGCAGUGAGGAAUAUUGGUCAAUGGGCGUAAGCCUGAUCCAGCCAAGUCGCGUGAGUGAAGAAGGUUCUAUGGAUCGUAAACCUCUUUUAUAAGGGAAUAAAUUGCGGGCCGUGUCUCGUUUUGUAUGUACCUUAUGAAUCAGGAUCGGCUAACUCCGUGCCAGCAGCCGCGGUAAUCCGGAGGUUCCGAGCGUUAUCCGGAUUUAUUGGGUUUCAAGGGAGCGUAGGUGGAUUGUUAAGUCAGUUGUGAAAGUUUGCGGCUCAACCGUAAAAUUGCAGUUGAAACUGGCAGUCUUGAGUACAGUAGAGGUGGGCGGAAUUCGUGGUGUAGCGGUGAAAUGCUUAGAUAUCACGAAGAACUCCGAUUGCGAAGGCAGUUCACUGGACUGCAACUGACACUGAGGCUCGAAAGUGUGGGUAUCAAACAGGAUUAGAUACCCCUGUAGUC
rnacentral:rRNA from 1 species